rnacentral:rRNA from 1 species
UACGUAGGUGGCAAGCGUUGUCCGGAAUUACUGGGUGUAAAGGGCGUGUAGGCGGGAAGGCAAGUCAGAUGUGAAAGCCCAUGGCUUAACUGUGGAACUGCAUCUGAAACUGUUUUUCUUGAGUACUGGAGAGGAAAGUGGAAUUCCUAGUGUAGCGGUGAAAUGCGUAGAGAUUAGGAAGAACACCAGUGGCGAAGGCGAUUCUCUGGACAGAUACUGACGCUGAGGCUCUAAAGUUAGGGGAGCAAACAGGAUUAGAUACCCCU